UACGUAGGGGCCGAGCGUUGUCCGGAGUUACUGGGCGUAAAGCGCGCGCAGGUGGCCCAUUACGCCCGGCGUGAAAGCCCCCGGCUCAACCGGGGAGGGUCGUCGGGUACGGGUGGGCUUGAGGGCAUCAGGGGCUGGUGGAAUUCCCGGUGUAGUGGUGAAAUGCGUAGAGAUCGGGAGGAACACCCGUGGCGAAGGCGGCCAGCUGGGGUGCACCUGACACUGAGGCGCGAAGGCGUGGGGAGCGAACGGGAUUAGAUACCCCGGUAGUCCACGCAGUAAACGAUGCCGACUAGGCGUGGGGGGACUUGACCCCCUCCGUGCCGGAGCCAACGCGUGAAGUCGGCCGCCUGGGGAGUACGGCCGCAAGACUAAA
rnacentral:rRNA from 1 species